GAUGAACGCUAGCUACAGGCUUAACACAUGCAAGUCGCAGGGUAACAUGAGGAAAGCUUGCUUUCCUUGAUGACGACUGGCGCACGGGUGAGUAACGCGUAUCCAACCUCCCCAUAACUACGGGAUAACCCGUUGAAAGACGGCCUAAUACCGUAUGAUAUCGUUUGCUGACAUCAAAUAACGAUUAAAGGUUUAGCGGUUAUGGAUGGGGAUGCGUCUGAUUAGCUUGUUGGCGGGGUAACGGCCCACCAAGGCGACGAUCAGUAGGGGUUCUGAGAGGAAGGUCCCCCACAUUGGAACUGAGACACGGUCCAAACUCCUACGGGAGGCAGCAGUGAGGAAUAUUGGUCAAUGGGCGAGAGCCUGAACCAGCCAAGUAGCGUGCAGGAUGACGGCCCUAUGGGUUGUAAACUGCUUUUAUGUGGGGAUAAAGUGCGUGACGUGUCAUGCAUUGCAGGUACCACAUGAAUAAGGACCGGCUAAUUCCGUGCCAGCAGCCGCGGUAAUACGGAAGGUCCGGGCGUUAUCCGGAUUUAUUGGGUUUAAAGGGAGCGUAGGCUGUCUAUUAAGCGUGUUGUGAAAUUUACCGGCUCAACCGGUGGCUUGCAGCGCGAACUGGUCGACUUGAGUAUGCAGGAAGUAGGCGGAAUUCAUGGUGUAGCGGUGAAAUGCUUAGAUAUCAUGACGAACUCCGAUUGCGCAGGCAGCUUACUGUAGCAUAACUGACGCUGAUGCUCGAAAGUGCGGGUAUCAAACAGG
rnacentral:rRNA from 1 species